UAGGGAAUCUUCCACAAUGGACGCAAGUCUGAUGGAGCAACGCCGCGUGAGUGAAGAAGGUUUUCGGACCGUAAAGCUCUGUUGUUGGUGAAGAAGGAUAGAGGUAGUAACUGGCCUUUAUUUGACGGUAAUCAACCAGAAAGUCACGGCUAACUACGUGCCAGCAGCCGCGGUAAAUCGUAGGUGGCAAGCGUUGUCCGGAUUUAUUGGGCGUAAAGCGAGCGCAGGCGGAAGAAUAAGUCUGAUGUGAAAGCCCUCGGCUUAACCGAGGAAUUGCAUCGGAAACUGUUUUCUUGAGUGCAGAAGAGGAGAGUAGAACUCCAUGUGUAGCGGUGGAAUGCGUAGAUAUAUGGAAGAAUACCAGUGGCGAAGGCGGCUCUCUGGUCUGCAACUGACGCUGAGGCUCGAAAGCAUGGUAGCGAACAGGAUUAGAUACCCUGGUAGUCCAUGCCGUAAACGAUGAGUGCUAAGUGUU
rnacentral:rRNA from 1 species